AGAGCUGAGGGCUCACAUUUCCACCUCCCAUUUGAGGAACAAGCAUCGUUGGUAUGAUGAUGCUGGUGUCCAACAUGACUAUGAAAUGUUGAAAUCCUUACAAGCACAAGAGGAACAUCAACUUAUAUACUAUUUGAUUAAUAUGAGUACAUCAACUUAUAUACUAUUUGAUUAAUAUGAGUAGUACAUACUAUCAAUUGCAUAAAAGCAUGUGCAGCUGAAAGGCCUUUUCAUUAUAAAUAAAUUCAAGAUCAAUGAACCAGCAAAAGAAUUUGUUUCCAACAAAAAACUUUCUCUACUGAAAAUAUGAAGACUGAUGUGCAUCGACAACAACAAAAAUAGGUCAGUAAUCAGCACACAUGAUGCAGUGGGAAAGAAAGCCUGGACAUGAAACAACAAGUACGAGCAAAAACUGAGGACAGUGAAGGACAAGCACGGAAUGUAAGAGGGAAACUUUCAAAGAGCAAAUCAAGAGGCCCCUGAGGCGGGGUGAAGCAGAGCACGGUACGCCAUGGCGGUGAGCUGGUGAUGCAGAAAGACACGCUGGGCAGCUGCUCCUUGAGCGGAUGCCGCUGCAGCUCGUCGGCCUUGGGCGGCGGGGCG
rnacentral:lncRNA from 1 species